GAUGAACGCUGGCGACGUGCUUAACACAUGCAAGUCGAACGGAAAGGCUCCUGCUUGCAGGGGUACUCGAGUGGCGAACGGGUGAGUAACACGUGGGUGAUCUGCCCUGCACUUCGGGAUAAGCCUGGGAAACUGGGUCUAAUACCGGAUAGGACGAUGGUUUGGAUGCCAUUGUGGAAAGUUUUUCGGUGUGGGAUGAGCUCGCGGCCUAUCGGCUUGUUGGUGGGGUAAUGGCCUACCAAGGCGGCGACGGGUAGCCGGCCUGUGAGGGUGUACGGCCGCCUUGGGACUGAGGUGCGGCCGCGGCUCCUACGGGAGGGAGCAGUGGGGAAGAUUGCCCGAUCGGCGCAAGCCUGAUGCAGAGACGCCGCGUGGGGGAUAACGGCCUUAGGGUUGUAGAAUCCUUUCGCUAGGAACGAAGCGUUUUGUGACGGUACCUGGAGAAGAAGCACCGGCUAACUACGUG
rnacentral:rRNA from 1 species